UACGGGGGGGGCAAGCGUUGUUCGGAAUUACUGGGCGUAAAGGGCUCGUAGGUGGCCAACUAAGUCAGACGUGAAAUCCCUCGGCUUAACCGGGGAACUGCGUCUGAUACUGGAUGGCUAGAGUUUGGGAGAGGGAUGCGGAAUUCCAGGUGUAGCGGUGAAAUGCGUAGAUAUCUGGAGGAACACCGGUGGCGAAGGCGCCCACCUGGCCUGCUACUGACGCUGAAGCUCGAAAGCUAGGGGAGCAAACGGG
rnacentral:rRNA from 1 species